CCGCAGUUCACAAAAUUUCCUGUACAAGUAUCCUAAAAACCCGUCAACUAAAUCAUCAAACCAUUCCCAGCAAAUUCAAAUGCUUUACCAAAAAUUCCAUCUAAUUAAACAUACACAUACACAUUAUACACACAAAAUUCCAAGAUCUUAGCAUCCAUAAUACCCGAGAUCAAGUUUACAAAUCCAUAUAUUUACAUAAUUCAAAUUACAAUCCCAGUCGAAUGCCAAUGUUUUAGCUCAGGCCGAUGAAUUUUCGUUCUUAUCCCAUUUAGUGACGUGCUCUCUUCCUUUGCGUAUAGUCACAUUCAUAGCAAUCUCCGUGUCUUGUUCAUCAGUCAACUGGCAUCGUGUUUCGAAAAUGAAAGACAAAUCUAGUGUCCUGAUGACUAAACUUGAUUCAGCACCUGUUUUCUCCUCUUUCACACACUCCCAAUAACCACAUUUCAUGCUGCACGUAUUGAAUAGUUUACCUUGGUCGUCGGUGUUCUUCUCCACCUCGAAGCACUUCAAAAUGACAUGUUUGCACCAUGGGCAGGGUCGUUUGUUCGAGCAUUCCGCGAAAAAAUGUCCCUUUAGUCUACAGCAGUGACAGACUCCAUAAUUCUUUCCUCUCAUUAUGGGAAUCUAACACCAAACAAAAUCAUAAGCACCACAUAUAUAAAAACAAAUGAAAAAACAUGAACAUAUUUCCCAUGGUUAAGUUCAUAAGCACCACAUAUAUAAAAACAAAUGAAAAAACAUGAACAUAUUUCCCAUGGUUAAGUAGCAUUAUUGUUUACCAAUAAUGCUACUUAUUCAUCUGCAAAAGUAAAACAAGCGUGAAAACAAAUCCGUAUUCAUCUAAACAAAUGUAAAAAUUAGCUCAACUAAAGCUGGUCCAUAAAAAUUACCAGAUUUCAAUUUUUUGUCAUAAAAGGAAACAAAAGCAGCAGUAGUAAUUCUUUUCAUAAUUGAUUUUCGACCUAUGUUUGGCUCCAUAUUUUGAAAAUAUCAUUUUCCCAAAAUCUCCUACAAUUCCUAAACAGGAACUAAUCAUAAAUACAACAGAAAAUUCUCAGUUUGUAGUAGAAUCUUCGACCUUCUGAGUCUUAGCAACUAUGCAAGAAUUAUAAUUGGAAGAACCACUCACUAUAAGGAAACUUGUAGUGAAACCAGCUUAAAUCUUGAGACCAAAUUCACAAAAAAAAAAUAAUAAUAAUAAUAAUAAUAAUAAAUCAACGAAAGAGUGCUGUCAAAAUAAAAAAAUGAACAAAUAUGUACACACACUAUAAGGUAAAGCUUGUGAUUGAGUACUCACACACAGGUAGCAAGCACAUGAAAGCUCGAACCCACUUUCAUAAAUAAUGUCCAACACGCCAGCAUUUUGCCAUCAAUAGGUGUACAACAGUGAACCAAACCAAUAGAUCUUUGUGACUGCAUCUAGUUGAUUCUCACUUAAUAUAUAUACAUAUAUACCUGAUUUGGUCGAAGAAGAUGGGCGAUAGCAGCUACGAAUCAACGACAAGCGGCCGAGAAUCUCAGAAAUGGAAGAUCGAGCAUGUUGGCAACAUAGAUUCCAUGGUUUUCAACGGUGUCUCUAUCGAGGAGCUGGAACGGCGUCAAUCGCUUCUUUUAGGGGAAAAAGCGAGAUCACUUCAAGAACCAUGUCAUCUUUCAAGUUUCUCAUGGUUCUGGAAUUGAAUAUGAUACUUUCGGAAUUCUGUG
rnacentral:lncRNA from 1 species